GGUGAGUAAUACUUAGGAAUCUGCCUAUUAAUGGGGGACAACAUCUCGAAAGGGAUGCUAAUACCGCAUACGCCCUACGGGGGAAAGCAGGGGAUCACUUGUGACCUUGCGUUAAUAGAUGAGCCUAAGUCGGAUUAGCUAGUUGGUGGGGUAAAGGCCUACCAAGGCGACGAUCUGUAGCGGGUCUGAGAGGAUGAUCCGCCACACUGGGACUGAGACACGGCCCAGACUCCUACGGGAGGCAGCAGUGGGGAAUAUUGGACAAUGGGGGGAACCCUGAUCCAGCCAUGCCGCGUGUGUGAAGAAGGCCUUAUGGUUGUAAAGCACUUUAAGCGAGGAGGAGGCUCUUCUAGUUAAUACCUAGGAUGAGUGGACGUUACUCGCAGAAUAAGCACCGGCUAACUCUGUGCCAGCAGCCGCGGUAAUACAGAGGGUGCGAGCGUUAAUCGGAUUUACUGGGCGUAAAGCGUGCGUAGGCGGCUUUUUAAGUCGGAUGUGAAAUCCCCGAGCUUAACUUGGGAAUUGCAUUCGAUACUGGGAAGCUAGAGUAUGGGAGAGGAUGGUAGAAUUCCAGGUGUAGCGGUGAAAUGCGUAGAGAUCUGGAGGAAUACCGAUGGCGAAGGCAGCCAUCUGGCCUAAUACUGACGCUGAGGUACGAAAGCAUGGGGAGCAAACAGGAUUAGAUACCCUGGUAGUCCAUGCCGUAAACGAUGUCUACUAGCCGUUGGGGCCUUUGAGGCUUUAGUGGCGCAGCUAACGCGAUAAGUAGACCGCCUGGGGAGUACGGUCGCAAGACUAAAACUCAAAUGAAUUGACGGGGGCCCGCACAAGCGGUGG
rnacentral:rRNA from 1 species